UGUGAGCUCGAUGAGUAGGGCGGGACACGUGGUAUCCUGUCUGAAUAUGGGGGGACCAUCCUCCAAGGCUAAAUACUCCUGACUGACCGAUAGUGAACCAGUACCGUGAGGGAAAGGCGAAAAGAACCCCGGCGAGGGGAGUGAAAAAGAACCUGAAACCGUGUACGUACAAGCAGUGGGAGCCUCUUUUAUGGGGUGACUGCGUACCUUUUGUAUAAUGGGUCAGCGACUUAUAUUCUGUAGCAAGGUUAACCGAAUAGGGGAGCCGAAGGGAAACCGAGUCUUAACCGGGCGUUAAGUUGCAGGGUAUAGACCCGAAACCCGGUGAUCUAGCCAUGGGCAGGUUGAAGGUUGGGUAACACUAACUGGAGGACCGAACCGACUAAUGUUGAAAAAUUAGCGGAUGACUUGUGGCUGGGGGUGAAAGGCCAAUCAAACCGGGAGAUAGCUGGUUCUCCCCGAAAGCUAUUUAGGUAGCGCCUCGUGAAUUCAUCUCCGGGGGUAGAGCACUGUUUCGGCAAGGGGGUCAUCCCGACUUACCAACCCGAUGCAAACUGCGAAUACCGGAGAAUGUUAUCACGGGAGACACACGGCGGGUGCUAACGUCCGUCGUGAAGAGGGAAACAACCCAGACCGCCAGCUAAGGUCCCAAAGUCAUGGUUAAGUGGGAAACGAUGUGGGAAGGCCCAGACAGCCAGGAUGUUGGCUUAGAAGCAGCCAUCAUUUAAAGAAAGCGUAAUAGCUCACUGGUCGAGUCGGCCUGCGCGGAAGAUGUAACGGGGCUAAACCAUGCACCGAAGCUGCGGCAGCGACACUGUGUGUUGUUGGGUAGGGGAGCGUUCUGUAAGCCUGUGAAGGUGUGCUGUGAGGCAUGCUGGAGGUAUCAGAAGUGCGAAUGCUGACAUAAGUAACGAUAAAGCGGGUGAAAAGCCCGCUCGCCGGAAGACCAAGGGUUCCUGUCCAACGUUAAUCGGGGCAGGGUGAGUCGACCCCUAAGGCGAGGCCGAAAGGCGUAGUCGAUGGGAAACAGGUUAAUAUUCCUGUACUUGGUGUUACUGCGAAGGGGGGACGGAGAAGGCUAUGUUGGCCGGGCGACGGUUGUCCCGGUUUAAGCGUGUAGGCUGGUUUUCCAGGCAAAUCCGGAAAAUCAAGGCUGAGGCGUGAUGACGAGGCACUACGGUGCUGAAGCAACAAAUGCCCUGCUUCCAGGAAAAGCCUCUAAGCAUCAGGUAACAUCAAAUCGUACCCCAAACCGACACAGGUGGUCAGGUAGAGAAUACCAAGGCGCUUGAGAGAACUCGGGUGAAGGAACUAGGCAAAAUGGUGCCGUAACUUCGGGAGAAGGCACGCUGAUAUGUAGGUGAAGUCCCUCGCGGAUGGAGCUGAAAUCAGUCGAAGAUACCAGCUGGCUGCAACUGUUUAUUAAAAACACAGCACUGUGCAAACACGAAAGUGGACGUAUACGGUGUGACGCCUGCCCGGUGCCGGAAGGUUAAUUGAUGGGGUCAGCGCAAGCGAAGCUCUUGAUCGAAGCCCCGGUAAACGGCGGCCGUAACUAUAACGGUCCUAAGGUAGCGAAAUUCCUUGUCGGGUAAGUUCCGACCUGCACGAAUGGCGUAAUGAUGGCCAGGCUGUCUCCACCCGAGACUCAGUGAAAUUGAACUCGCUGUGAAGAUGCAGUGUACCCGCGGCAAGACGGAAAGACCCCGUGAACCUUUACUAUAGCUUGACACUGAACAUUGAGCCUUGAUGUGUAGGAUAGGUGGGAGGCUUUGAAGUGUGGACGCCAGUCUGCAUGGAGCCGACCUUGAAAUACCACCCUUUAAUGUUUGAUGUUCUAACGUGGACCCGUGAUCCGGGUUGCGGACAGUGUCUGGUGGGUAGUUUGACUGGGGCGGUCUCCUCCUAAAGAGUAACGGAGGAGCACGAAGGUUGGCUAAUCCUGGUCGGACAUCAGGAGGUUAGUGCAAUGGCAUAAGCCAGCUUGACUGCGAGCGUGACGGCGCGAGCAGGUGCGAAAGCAGGUCAUAGUGAUCCGGUGGUUCUGAAUGGAAGGGCCAUCGCUCAACGGAUAAAAGGUACUCCGGGGAUAACAGGCUGAUACCGCCCAAGAGUUCAUAUCGACGGCGGUGUUUGGCACCUCGAUGUCGGCUCAUCACAUCCUGGGGCUGAAGUAGGUCCCAAGGGUAUGGCUGUUCGCCAUUUAAAGUGGUACGCGAGCUGGGUUUAGAACGUCGUGAGACAGUUCGGUCCCUAUCUGCCGUGGGCGCUGGAGAACUGAGGGGGGCUGCUCCUAGUACGAGAGGACCGGAGUGGACGCAUCACUGGUGUUCGGGUUGUCAUGCCAAUGGCACUGCCCGGUAGCUAAAUGCGGAAGAGAUAAGUGCUGAAAGCAUCUAAGCACGAAACUUGCCCCGAGAUGAGUUCU
rnacentral:rRNA from 1 species